AGGCCUGCCAUGGUCCCUCCCUGUUCUCUCAGCUCUGCCCUGACUGAAGCAUUGAAGUCGAAGUCAUGAAGAAGAAGGAAGAAGAAGAGUAUGACUUGAUGUCACACACAGAGGGGAGAUAGAAGGCAGUUGUGGUGUCGAAACCCUACGGGCUUUCACCUGACACUAUUCACAACUACAGCUAUCGAUUGGGGAUCCUUUUCCACUGGAUGUCCAUUGACUGGUAGUCCUUGCCAUGCUGUUGCCGCAGCGCCAUUACCUCAGCUUCCCCCGGGGAUCAUGUUUCCACAGUACUUCCCAUCGCCAAUAUCAUUAGUACCAUCCAUGUAUUUUUACUGCAAGUCUACCCAUAGAUAUACCCAGGCUACAUCUGCUCCUGAUGAGUGGAAGUUUAUCCACGAAACGUGUCAAGAUUUUAAUUGAUGCUAUGUCACAGCAACUAUGCACUACUAUGCGAUUUUUACCUCAGAGAAUCAUGAAUCAAUUAUAUAGUACCAUGGCUUUAUAUUAUCAUGUUUGUAGAUAAUUGGGUCUAUUUUAUUAUAUCAAAUG